AGGUGGUGUUUUUUUUCCUGUGUGUACGGGCAAUUGUGUUAGAGCCCUUCUGAUCCAGAGGAUUAGAUCCAGAGGAAUCCUCGAUCGACUUCGGUGCACUGUUGGCUUCGUGUCGCCAAGAAACUGUAUAUAUAGUUACGAGACCAGCCUAAUGUGGACUGUCACGAACCAGUGACCAGGGUGGGAUCCGCCCCACUAGUAUGACCUCAUUUACGCCCCCUUGGGAGGCCAGAGGACGGUAGCUACAAAAGAGGAGGGAGGAGAUCGAGUCAGACCUGGGUAUAGAGGACAAGUACAGCCUGGGGAUCAUUGUGGUGGUGAAAGCACUAGAUGUACGCCCAGUGAGCGCUUCCCAACGGCAGCGGCGCCAGACUUUGAAGUCAUUCAAUGCUGGUCGGUGCUCACUGACCCAGAAAGUUGAACCCGCCGCCGGCGACUACCUGUGGUCAAUGUAAGUGUCCUGAAGCACACCUGUAGGUAUACGCCUACCUGGCAGGAAGGUACUGCCACCCGGG